AUUGAACGCUGACGGCAGGCUCAACACAUGCAAGUCGAGCGGAGAUGAGGUGCUUGCACCUUAUCUUAGCGGCGGACGGGUGAGUAAUGCUUAGGAAUCUGCCUAUUAGUGGGGGACAACAUUCCGAAAGGAAUGCUAAUACCGCAUACGUCCUACGGGAGAAAGCAGGGGAUCUUCGGACCUUGCGCUAAUAGAUGAGCCUAAGUCGGAUUAGCUAGUUGGUGGGGUAAAGGCCUACCAAGGCGACGAUCUGUGGCGGGUCUGAGAGGAUGAUCCGCCACACGGGGACUGAGACACGGCCCAGACUCCUACGGGAGGCAGCAGUGGGGAAUAUUGGACAAUGGGGGAGCCCCUGAUCCAGCCAUGCCGCGUGUGUGAAGAAGGCCUUAUGGUUGUAAAGCACUUUAAGCGAGGAGGAGGCUACUGAGACUAAUACUCUUGGAUAGUGGACGUUACUCGCAGAAUAAGCACCGGCUAACUCUGUGCCAGCAGCCGCAGUAAAAC
rnacentral:rRNA from 1 species